rnacentral:rRNA from 1 species
GUGGGGAAUUUUGGACAAUGGGCGCAAGCCUGAUCCAGCAAUGCCGCGUGUGUGAAGAAGGCCUUCGGGUUGUAAAGCACUUUUGGCAGGAAAGAAAUAGCGCGUGCUAAUACCAUGCGCGAAUGACGGUACCUGCAGAAUAAGCACCGGCUAACUACGUGCCAGCAGCCGCGGUAAGACGUAGGGUGCAAGCGUUAAUCGGAAUUACUGGGCGUAAAGCGUGCGCAGGCGGUUUUGUAAGACAGGUGUGAAAUCCCCGGGCUCAACCUGGGAACUGCACUUGUGACUGCAAGGCUAGAGUGGGUCAGAGGGAGGUGGAAUUCCGCGUGUAGCAGUGAAAUGCGUAGAGAUGCGGAGGAACACCGAUGGCGAAGGCAGCCUCCUGGGAUAACACUGACGCUCAGGCACGAAAGCGUGGGGAGCAAACAGGAUUAGAAACCCUAGUAGUCC